UACAUAUUUACAGACCCCGAUUGAUGUAAGCACGCGCGGACAUGGUUUUUUCCCGUGAACAAAAUAUUUAUAUGAAAUAUAGUUUAAAAUUAGUCAACAGUCGAACGAUCAAAAACCCGCCGCCACGCGUAAUUACACUUUUCCUUGUAUUGUAUGUAUUACCACUUUAUAAAAUACGGGUAUUAGAUAAACAUCAAUAAUUCUCGAAACAGUCAAAACAUUCUUAUCGCCAGGAAUUGACGACUCACAUCAUUCUCCAAUAAACUAUUUCUAUAGGACAAUAUAGAUAGCUAUUAUUAAUCUAUUUGAAUUUUUGCUUUGUAAACAAGGAAAUUGUCGUAGAACCAUUUACUUCAUGUUUGUAUUUCGUUACUGAACGACGGCGUCGGCUACGAGUGCGAACUGCAUUACAUUUUUUCAAUAAAAUAUAUUAGAUCUAUUACCUGUAUAUUUGCAUCUAUUUAUUGUUUGGUAAUUGGAAUUGGAAUAAAUAUGUCUUCCAAUAAAAAAAUAAAACAAAGUUCAUUGAAAUCAUUUAUGAUGAGCGACAAGCCAAAUAAUGCAAUUGAUGCAUUGAAUAUAUGCAAUAAAGACAUGUAUCCUGGUAUAUUAAAUUUGCUUUAAAUUCUAGCAACACUCCCUGUAUCGACUGCGUCAAUUGAAAGAACAUUUUCGAAAUUAAAGUUAAUAAAAAUGUACUUACGUAAUACUAUUUCUGAAAAUAGACUUAAUGGAUUGGCUAUGAUGUCCAUUUAUAGAAAAGAUUCUCUCUUACCAAAAGACAUUUUAGAUGAACUUUGUAAAAAAAAAAGACGCUUAGAUUUUGUACUUUAAAAU